GCCAAUUUCAAGCUUCUUUUAUUUGCCUUUGAUCGAGGUCCCCUUUCACCCCCUCCUGCAAACCUUAUUCUUUUCAUCCUCGCAGCUUGUUCACCCUUCAAAAUCAAAGAAAAAUCAGUCAAGGUUCUGAAGUGUGAAACCCCAUUUCAGGGAAAUGAACCAAGAGUAGUUCCCAGUUUGAUCCUAGAGGCUGUAAAUAAAGCUUCGUUGCUGACAUUACUUUUUUAUUCUUAUAACUUUAAGCAAUACUUUCAUAAACAUGUCCUGUUGAUCCUUUACUUCUUCCAUACUUAUCUUACAAUUCAGUUUUUGUUGGCUGUGGCUGCAAUCCCAGCUCAGAUCUGUCUUCCUGGUGUGGAACUCGAACCACAGUUCAAUGCACCAGUUCGAGCCACUUCAUUGCAAGACUUUUGGGGACGUAGAUGG
rnacentral:lncRNA from 1 species